UCCCCAACACUCUUCUUCGCCAUUGAAACAACCCCUCUUGACCCUUUUCCCUUGAAAGAUCGAACUUUGGAGGAGACAUGGAGGGAAAGCAAUGAGUCCCCAGAAGCAGCGGCGGAGAAGCCUAGGCUCUGGCAGAGAGGGACAGAUUUGUGGUGGUGACGCGUGGAGGAAACGCGAAUGAGGAAUGCUGAAGUGCGCGUGGCGGAGGAGGUGGUGGAGGAGGCCGUGGUUUUGAGGAGGGAAAGAGUGGUGGAAGUGGUGGCGGUAGCCAUUGUGCUGUGUCUUUUG
rnacentral:lncRNA from 1 species